GGAAAAGUGAGUACCGGCUAGUAUCGCGAGAUCAGGAAGGUGGCCGAGUGUGUCGCCGCGGCCAUCAGGCACUUCUCCUUCCUGCCCUUGUAUGAAGAAGGAUGUGUUUGCUUCCCCUUGUGCCAUGAUUGUAAAUUUCCUGAGGCCUCCUCAGCCCUGCAGAACUGGCUAGAGCAAUGUAUCUUAGGCUCACUUAAGGAAGCUGUAGAGAUGAGCCCAAGGAGGGAAACCAGAAGAGCCCCCCAGGCUCACCAGUUGUUUGUUGGCUCCCUACAAACAUGUCAUUCAAGUGGCUAAUCUUACAACAGCACAAAUUCAUCUAACCAGAGAUACUCUAUUAUAGCAAAGAAGAAAGAUAAUUUCAUUGAGCCAUCCUGUUUUACAGGAAAUUCUGCAAGUGGCAACGUGGGUCCAUUCCGUGUGUGUCACUAGAGCUGGCGCAAGCCCAUGGCCAUGGUGAGGCAGCGUUUCCACUGGAACUAAUCUGAUACCUGCACCAGCUCUUGCAACUGUGCAGUGUUCCCACUGCAAACUACGGAUGGGGUAAAAGACUGCUCACCUCCUAUUUCUCAUCUAAUCUCACACACUCUGUUUGAUGAGGCUAUGGAGAAACAGGUCUUCUCAUACACUAAAGGUGGGAGUACAAACAAUUCAAGCCCUGUGCAGGACAAUUAGGCAAUACCUAUCAAAAUUAUACAUGAUUUUUCCUGCUGACCCAGCAAUUCCACUUCUGGGAAUAAUUGACAGAUAUAGGUGCAUAUGUACAAAAUGAUGGAAAGCUCUCUGGUAUAUAUUAGUAAGUGAUAAAACAAGGUGUAAAAUAGUGUAUAUAUGGCUACUACCUUUUGUUUUAAAAAUGGGGGAAAAUGGUGGAGCUUGCGGUGAGCCGAGAUCGUGCCACUGCACUCCAGCCUGGGCGACAGAGCGAGACUCCGUCUCAAAAAAAAAACAGGGUGGGGUGGGGGGGAAAUAAUAGUACAUACUCAUAUUUACCUGUAUCUAUAUAAAACACACUAUCAAGGAUUCACAAGAAACUAAUACAAAUGAUCACCUUAUAGAUGGUAUGUAUUGGGGGAUACUGAGGUGAGCAGGGUAUAAGUGGGGCAAGACUUUUCAGUGUAAACUUCUUUUAAAUUUUAUUUUGAUUUUUGAAUAAUGUAAAUUAACUGUCAAAUAAUUAAAUUAAAAAUAACCAAUUUAUUAACAAAA
rnacentral:lncRNA from 1 species